AGAGCCUGACAACCCAGUUCCUCCUCCCUCAACCUGUAGAAACAAGCCUGUUACUAUUACCGAGCCAGUUUCUACUGCCUCAACCAAUAUAGAACCUACAAGUCAUCCAGCUCAACAGGAUUACACAGACGAACCGGAGUCUGACAAGACACAUUCUCCUGCCUCAUCAAAUAUUGUAGGUGCAACUGGAGCAGAUGUGUAUUGCUUCACAUACUAGAAGAAUCCAAUAACUGUAAAAUUUAUUAAAGUGUAUGAACAUCCAAAAGCUGGAGCCAUGUAAGUUUUCAAGCAGUUGUUACUCUUUAAAUUUAUAUUAUGAUAAGUUAUGACGACCAAUUACUAUGUGAAAGUACUUGAUUUUUUUGUUUUUAUUGCAGUUUUACCCUA